UAACCUUGAACUUGACUAACGUAUUCAUUUUCUGGGGAGUGUCUGCCGUCUUAUAUUAGUAACUAUUAAUUGUAUCUUUUACUUGUGCAAUUAUUUUAUAUUAAUUUUUAUUAAUAAUUAUGGAUCCUUCGAUUUUCCCUGAUGAAAUUUGGAUAAAAAUUUUAUUAUAUUGUGAUGUACCUGAUAUUAUUGCUAUCGGUAGUACGUGCAAACAUUUAAGAAAAACUUCAGAUACUGAUUAUUUGUGGAAAAUAAAAUGGUUACAAUUGAUUUCAAGAGUACAUUUUAGAUUUCCAGAUAUAAAAUGUUUGCAAUUACUUAAUGUUAAUUUUAAAGCAAUGUGUUAUAGAUUAUAUAUGGUAAUUACAUUAGGAGAAACUGUUCAUUUUCCAAAAUGUCGUCAUUGCAGUGGUUAUACAUGUCAAAGAAAUUGUGUCGAAGGUUCUAAUGCAAAAGUAGUAAUUGAAAUAGGAAAUAAAUAUACAUGGGUAAUUGCACCACAUUUUGAAUUAAGAAGACAUUUUUCAAUGUUUGGUGUACCUAAAUAUAAUAAUGAAACAUAUUUAGAACAAACACAAAAUAUUCCAAGUAGUAGUACUCAUCCAAAAUGUGAUGGCAAAUCAUUGACUAAAAAAUUAAAAUUAUUGAAAUUAACUGAAUUAGCAACAGCUAAAAUUCCAAGACCUAGUGGCCCAUUUUGUGUUUUUUGUAAUUCUGUAAAAUUAUAUAGAGAAAAAAAGAGAUUAAUUACUCAUCAAAAUGAUCCAACAUAUUAUGCAAGGCCAAAUCCAAUUUAUGAGAAACUUAUAAAUGGAUAUUGCACUGAUACUGUUGAAGUUCUUGGAAUUCCAAAUGUUGAUCUUGUUAGUCCAGCAGAAGCAUUAUUAAGUGAAGGAACAUUUACUGUUCUUAAAACAUUUGUUGGUCAUUUAUUUCAUCAGAUGAGAUUAACUUCAACAUUAAGAAAACCUAAUGCAGUACUCAUGUUUUGUGAACCUUUAGCUAUGCAUCCAAUGCUUAGAAAACAAUUGUUACAUUAUUUAUUUCAAGAAGUUAAAAUAUCAAGAGUAUGUCUAGUUCCUAAACCUUUAGCAGCAUGUGCAAUGCUGGAUGUGGAAACUUGUGUAGUAGUUGAUAGUGGUGCUUUAAGUACAACAGUAGCUGUUGUAAUUGGUGGACGUGUUAUACCACAACGUUGGAGAUUAUUACCUGUUGGUGGUUGGCACGUAGCUUAUCAUUUAAAACAAGCUAUGCAUUGGUAUUUAAAGGGAUGUUAUCAUAUUCCUAUAUCAUAUCUGGACACAUUGCCUAUUAAGGAAAGAUGUAGAUUAAGUUAUAAUAUUAAAAAUGAAGAAAAAAGAGUAGGACAAAAAGCUGGGGAAUGUAUUAAAGUUAGAGUUCGAAGCUAUGCUGAUAAUAAGCAAUUUUUGAGAAUUUCUCUAGGUUCAGAAUUGUAUAUUGCUCCUGAAAUGAUGUAUAUCAAUCUUGGUUUGCCACAAGUAAUAAAAGAUAUAACAUCUGGUUUAUCAGAAGAAGUUUUACAUGAUUGUCUUUCACAUAUAUUACUUACUGGAGGAAACACACAUCUUUCAGGUUUUGGAUUAAGAUUAACUAAAGAUUUACGAGAAUUAUUACCAGAAUACAGCAAAAUAUUAGAAGUAAGAAGUUGUCCUGGUACUCAUAGUUGGAAUGUUGCAAUGGGUUCUACAUAUGUGCCUUUAACUGUACAUCCUGGUAAUUAUAUAACUGUCAUUAAAAAAUUACAUAACAAUAUAAUAGUGCGUGCGUGCGUGCGUGCGUGCGUGCGUGCGUGCGUGUGUGUGUGUGUGCGUGUGUGUGUAUAAUAUAAUUAACUUAAAUUUUAGACAAAACACCACCAGAAUAUAUAGAAGGUAAUCCAUUUUGGCUGUCAAGAGAAGAAUAUGUUUUAUUUGGAUGUGAAUCAUUGGAACAAUAAAUUGUAAUAAGUGAUUUUUUUUAUAAAAUCAAACUUAUACCUCACUUAUUAUAUAAAUGCAAAAUCUUUGCAUAUGUAAAACUAUUGAAAAAGUAAAGGAAAAACCAUCAUGAAGAAAAUCUUUCAAUGAAUUGCCUUUAAAUUAGAUGCAAAAUAUAACCACAGAUAAUUGGAGGAACAUUCCAAGAUUAAAUGCUUGGAUAAAAAUAAACAUUGAUAUUUUUCAAAGUCCUACAAAGAUGCCGAAGAUAUAAACUUUACUAAUAUAUAUCUAAUGAAAUACUUGCGUAGACGUACGUUUUCGCAUUUAUGAUGUUAUAUUUAAGUCCAUUAAACAUUUUUCUAUUACAUCAUCUACGAUCUAAGAAUUUUACACAAACUUUUUAAAACAAUUAGAUGUUAAUAUAUAUAAUCCUCUCUCUCUCUCUCUCUCUCUCUCUCUCUCUCUCUCUCUCUCUCUCUCUCUCUCUCUCUCUCUCUCUCUCUCUCUCUCUCUCUCUCUCUCUCUCUCUCUCUCUCUCUCUCUCUCUCUCUCUCUCUCUCUCUCUCUCUCUCUCUCUCUCUCUCUCUCUCUCUCUCUCUCUCUCUCUCUCUCUCUCUCUCUCUCUCUCUCUCUCUCUCUCUCUCUCUCUCUCUCUCUCUCUCUCUCUCUCUCUCUCUCUCUCUCUCUCUCUCUCUCUCUCUCUCUCUCUCUCUGUCAUUCAUUCAUUCAUUCAUUCAUUCACUAACUCUCACACAUAUACACACACAAUUUUAAUAUUUCUUUUCUAUUUUCCCUUUACAAUUUUCUUGAAAUUUUAUAAUUCAUGAUUAAUGUUCAAUUAAUUUAAUUAAUUUACUUAGGAUUUCUUAAUUCAAAAUGACAAGAAAUUUGAUAAAUUUUUUUCUACUUAUAAUUUAUUUAAUGAAUUUUUAUUUUCAUCAAUGUUCAUUAAUUUUUCUAUUUUAAUAUUAAAAAUCAUUUAAACUCAACAAUAUAAUUGCCGUCCAUCUUAAAUUUUCAAUAUUUCUUUCAAUUUUCAAUAUUUUGAAUAAUGAUCAAAUUUAGUUCAAAAAAAUUCAUUCAAAUUUUUAUUUUUUAUUCAUAAAAAUUUUAUUAAUAAAUCUAAGUUUUAUUAAUUUAUCUAAGAAUUAAGAAAUUGAGAAUUAAACAUUCCAUUUAGUUUAACUGUUCUUUGAAGAAUGAUUUAUAUAUAUAUAUAUAUAUAUAGUACAAAAAAAAUUGUUUUGUAAAUAGAAAAGAAUAUAUUUAAUUGCUUAAUGUACAUAAAAAUAAUUUUAAAAGAUAUUCAAAAAUAAUUAUCAUAAAUUUUAAAUAGAGUAUUUCUAAACUCGUUCAUAAUUUCGUAAAUUUACAUUAGAUCAUUUUUGCCAAAAUAAGAAAUUAUAUUAUAAAUAAGAAAUAUUAAUAACCAAAAUAAUAGCAAUUUCUAGUCAUUUUAAAUAUAUAUAUAGUUAAGCUAUUUAAUCUCCUCUUCCAAGAUAAUAAAUAAUAUUAAAAAUAAGAAUUUAUGAUGUAUAGUAUAAAUUUAUAAUAAUAAUAUAAGAAUACAUAAAUUUUUAAAAUUUAAUUCCGCAAAAUUGUUCCCCUAAUUUUUUUCAAUUUUAGAUUUAAUUUCGUGAAUAAUUUGCAAUAAUAAAUAUGCAAUUAUUAUUUUCAUAUUGGAUAUAAUUAAUUAUUAAACUAAAAAUUAUAUAAUAUUUAAACAGUUAUCAAAUUUUAAUAUUAAUAGAAGUUUUAAUAUAGAAAUUAAUUUAAAUAUAUAUUUUAUAUAUAUAUAUAAUUAUGUUUUUGUUAUUAAAAAUUUAUACAAUGUUUAAUUUAUAAUAUUAUAAUUAUCAAUAAAUGCUUGUAUAUGUAUAUACACAUGCGCGCAUAUAUAUUAUGUGUAAAACAUAAUGUUUAUAUGUAUAAUAUAAGCAUGUAUAUAAUUUAAAAAUUUUAAAACUAUACAUAUUUAUAACAUAGUUUUUACAAAUCAUACGUCUUUAACAUUUUUUAAGAUUCAAUUUAUGUUCUCUAUUUCUUAUAAUUUGAUUAAUUUUUUUAAUAUUAUUUACAAAAAUGGAAUGAAACGAUAUAGAAUAUAAAAAUAAUGCUAUAAAGGGAUUCAAUAUAGAAUCUUUAAUAAUAGUCAUUAUUUUUCAUCUUUUUAAAUAAUAUUAUUUUUCUAUAUAAAUUAUUUUUCUAUAUAAACUUUGUUUUUUUUGUUUUAAAAAUAUAAUUUUAUAUCUUUUAACUAUUAUUUUAUAUUUAUUUGAAAGAACAACUACCAAUGAUAUUUUGUAAUAAUUUUAUUAUACUCUAAUAAUUUUUCAUUUCAGAAAUCUUUGAUUUAUAAAAAAUCUAUAUAAUUUAAGCAUAUUGUUAGAAAGAUAUUAAAUAUGUAUAUAUUGUAUGUAUUAAUUAUAUAUUAAUUGCUAUUAAUUAUAUAUUAAAUAUGUAAAUUCUAUAUCUUAUUAACAUUUUAUUUUGUUUAUUACAACUUGUAAAAAAUAAUAAACCAUGCAAAUAUAUAUAU